rnacentral:rRNA from 1 species
AAGUCGAGCGAACUUUUGGGAGCUUGCUCCCUGAAGUUAGCGGCGGACGGGUGAGUAACACGUGGGCAACCUGCCUAUAAGACUGGGAUAACUUCGGGAAACCGGAGCUAAUACCGGAUAAUUCAUAUCUACACAUGUAGAUAUGCUGAAAGACGGUUUACGCUGUCACUUAUAGAUGGGCCCGCGGCGCAUUAGCUAGUUGGUGAGGUAACGGCUCACCAAGGCAACGAUGCGUAGCCGACCUGAGAGGGUGAUCGGCCACACUGGGACUGAGACACGGCCCAGACUCCUACGGGAGGCAGCAGUAGGGAAUCUUCCGCAAUGGACGAAAGUCUGACGGAGCAACGCCGCGUGAGUGAUGAAGGUUUUCGGAUCGUAAAACUCUGUUGUUAGGGAAGAACAAGUACUAGAGUAACUGCUAGUACCUUGACGGUACCUAACCAGAAAGCCACGGCUAACUACGUGCCAGCAGCCGCGGUAAUACGUAGGUGGCAAGCGUUGUCCGGAAUUAUUGGGCGUAAAGCGCGCGCAGGCGGUCCUUUAAGUCUGAUGUGAAAGCCCACGGCUCAACCGUGGAGGGUCAUUGGA